rnacentral:misc_RNA from 1 species
GAAAUGCGAUAAGUAAUGUGAAUUGCAGAAUUCAGUGAAUCAUCGAAUCUUUGAACGCAUAUUGCGCCCGCCAGUAUUCUGGCGGGCAUGCCUGUUCGAGCGUCAUUACAACCCUCAGGCCCCCGGGCCUGGCGUUGGGGAUCGGCGGAAGCCCCCUGCGGGCACAACGCCGUCCCCCAAAUACAGUGGCGGUCCCGCCGCAGCUUCCAUUGCGUAGUAGCUAACACCUCGCAACUGGAGAGCGGCGCGGCCACGCCGUAAAACACCCAACUUCUGAAUGUUGACCUCGAAUCAGGUAGGAAUACCCGCUGAAGAUAAGC